UACGUAGGGACCUAGCGUUGUUCGGAAUCACUGGGCGUAAAGGGUAUGUAGGCGGUUUAAUAAGUCAGAUGUGAAAGCCCCGGGCUUAACCUGGGAACAGCAUUUGAUACUGCUAGACUAGAGAUCGAAAGAGGAGAGUGGAAUUGCGAGUGUAGAGGUGAAAUUCGUAGAUAUUCGCAGGAACACCGGUGGCGAAGGCGACUCUCUGGUUCGAUACUGACGCUAAGGCGCGAAAGCGUGGGGAGCAAACAGG
rnacentral:rRNA from 1 species